UAAUCAUUGUUGGAUUUCAGUUCCCUCAUCGACAAUGCUCCUUCUGAUUCCAUGGAGUUUAGAGUGUGGCCAUGUCUUUUAUCAUGACUGGAGGAUCAUGUAGGGGAGGAGUAUAAAGGAACCCCUCUGAGUGUAAAGGUUACCACAGUUUAGUUUCAUAAGGGCACAACUACACCCCAAUCGACUAUGGAUUCUGUAAAGAUCAACAACGCUGAUGAGGGAUCUGAACACCAACAGAGGUUG
rnacentral:pre_miRNA from 1 species